rnacentral:rRNA from 1 species
CCUACGGGGGGCUGCAGUGGGGAAUAUUGCACAAUGGGCGCAAGCCUGAUGCAGCAACGCCGCGUGAGUGAAGAAGGCCUUCGGGUCGUAAAGCUCUGUCCUGUGGGACGAAACAAAUGACGGUACCACAGGAGGAAGCCCCGGCUAACUACGUGCCAGCAGCCGCGGUAAUACGUAGGGGGCAAGCGUUAUCCGGAAUCACUGGGCGUAAAGGGUGCGUAGGUGGUUCCUCAAGUCAGAAGUGAAAGGCAGUGGCUUAACCACUGUAAGCUUUUGAAACUGAGGAACUUGAGUGCAGGAGAGGUAAGUGGAAUUCCUAGUGUAGCGGUGAAAUGCGUAGAUAUUAGGAGGAACACCAGUGGCGAAGGCGACUUACUGGACUGUAACUGACACUGAGGCACGAAAGCGUGGGGAGCGAACAGGAUUAGAUACCCCUGUAGUC